UAUUUUGUUUGUUGUUUUGUAGGGCACACGGUGGAUGCCUUGGCAUAUCAAGCCGAUGAAGGACGUGAGAGGCUGCGUUAUGCCUCGGGGAGUUGCCAACUAAGCGUUGAUCCGAGGAUGUCCGAAUGGGGAAACCCAGCCGCAGUGAUGUGUGGUUACCUGCCAGUGAAUGUAUAGCUGGUGUGGAGGUUUACACGGGGAAGUGAAACAUCUCAGUACCCGUAGGAGAAGAAAACAAUUGUGAUUCCGUUAGUAGUGGCGAGCGAACGUGGAUGAUGGCUAAAACUUAUGUGUGUGAUACCCGGCAGGGGUUGCAUGUAGGUGGUUGUGGGGCAAUGACGUUCAUAUUCUGCCGGAUGUGGGCAUGUGCUGCGUGGUUAGUGGAAGUGGUGUGGAAACACCUGCCGUAGAAGGUGAGAGUCCUGUACACGAAGAUCAUGGUGGUGUGUGUGGUUGUUGAUACCCCGAGUAGCAGCGGGCUCGUGGAAUCUGCUGUGAAUUAGCCGGGACCACCCGGUAAGCCUGAAUACUUGAUAUGACCGAUAGCGGAUUAGUACCGUGAGGGAAUGGUGAAAAGUACCCCGGGAGGGGAGUGAAAUAGUACCUGAAACCGUGUGCUGUCAAUCCGUCAGAGCAUCCUUUGUGGUGUGAUGGCGUGCCUUUUGAAGAAUGAGCCUGCGAGUCAGCGGCAUGUCGCGAGGUUAACCCGUGUGGGGUAGCCGUAGGGAAACCGAAUCCUAACGAGGGUGUUUUAGUGGCAUGUCUUGGACCCGAAGCGGAGUGAUCUACCCAUGGCCAGUGUGAAGCAGCUGUAAGAGGUUGUGGAGGCGCGAACCCACUUAGGUUGAAAACUGAGGGGAUGAGUUGUGGGUAGGGGUGAAAGGCCAAUCAAACUCCGUGAUAGCUGGUUCUCCCCGAAAUGCAUUUAGGUGCAGCGUCGUGUGUUUCUUGCCGGAGGUAGAGCUACUGGAUGGUUUAGCGGGACCAACAUCUUAGCGACAUCAGCCAAACUCCGAAUGCCGGUAAGUGAGAGCACGGCAGUGAGACUGCGGGGGAUAAGCUUCGUAGUCGAGAGGGAAACAGCCCAGAUCGCCGGCUAAGGCCCCUAAGGGUGUGCUAAGUGGAAAAGGAGGUGGGGUCGCGAAGACAGCCAGGAGGUUGGCUUAGAAGCAGCCAUCCUUGAAAGAGUGCGUAAUAGCUCACUGGUCGAGUGAUUCCGCGCCGACAAUGUAGUGGGGCUUAAGUACACCGCCGAAGCCGCGGCAAUGAUCCUUUUGGAUUGUUGGGUAGGGGAGCGUCGUGCAUGCGUUGAAGCUUUGGGGUGACCUUGGGUGGAGUGUGUGCGAGUGAGAAUGCAGGCAUGAGUAACGAAUGAUGCGUGAGAAACGUAUCCGCCGGAUGACUAAGGGUUCCUGGGUCAAGUUAAUCUUCCCAGGGUGAGUCGGGGCCUAAGGCGAGGCCGACAGGCGUAGUCGAUGGAUAACGGGUUGAUAUUCCCGUACCCGAGUAUGAGCGACCAUGGUGAAUCAGUGAUACUAACCACCCAUAAGCACCCGCGAAAAGGCUUUGCUUUUUUGUGGUGUGUGGUUGCGUGGGACCUGAUCUGGUAGUAGCUAAGUGAUGGGGUGACGCAGGGAGGUAGCUCAGCCACUUAUUGGAUUGUGGUGUAAGCGUGUGGCACGCAGUGUUGGUAAAUCCGCACUGUUUUUGUGUGAGGCGUGAUGCGGAGCCCGUUAAGGGUGAAGUGGGUGAUCCUGUGCUGUCGAGAAAAGCCUCUAGCGAUGUUGAUAUUCGGCCCGUACCCUAAACCGACACAGGUAGUCAGGUAGAGAAUACUAAGGCGUUCGGGUGAACUGUGGUUAAGGAACUCGGCAAAAUGCCCCCGUAACUUCGGGAGAAGGGGGGCCACGGCGUGUGAACAACUUUUCGUUGGGAGCGUGUUGUGGUCGCAGAGAAUAGAGGGAAGCGACUGUUUACUAAAAACACAGGUCCGUGCGAAGACGUUUAAGUUGAUGUAUACGGACUGACGCCUGCCCGGUGCUGGAAGGUUAAGAGGACCGGUUAG
rnacentral:rRNA from 1 species